UACGUAGGAUGCAAGCGUUAUCCGGAAUUAUUGGGCGUAAAGAGUUUGUAGGUGGCAUGUUAAGUUGAAUGUUAAAUCUCAGGGCUCAACCCUGGGGCUGCAUUCAAUACUGGCAAGCUCGAGGUAUGGAGAGGUAAGCGGAAUUAGUAGUGUAGCGGUGAAAUGCGUAGAUAUUACUAAGAACACCAAUGGCGAAGGCAGCUUACUGGCCAUAUCCUGACACUGAGAAACGAAAGCGUGGGGAGCGAACAGG
rnacentral:rRNA from 1 species